rnacentral:rRNA from 1 species
UAAAGAUUCAUCGCUGAUAGAUAGGCAUGCGUUCCAUUAGGCAGUUGGCGGGGUAACGGCCCACCAAACCGACGAUGGAUAGGGGUUCUGAGAGGAAGGUCCCCCACAUUGGUACUGAGACACGGACCAAACUCCUACGGGAGGCAGCAGUGAGGAAUAUUGGUCAAUGGGCGUAAGCCUGAACCAGCCAAGUCGCGUGAGGGAUGAAGGUUCUAUGGAUCGUAAACCUCUUUUAUAAGGGAAUAAAGUGCGGGACGUGUCCCGUUUUGUAUGUACCUUAUGAAUAAGGAUCGGCUAACUCCGUGCCAGCAGCCGCGGUAAUACGGAGGAUCCGAGCGUUAUCCGGAUUUAUUGGGUUUAAAGGGUGCGUAGGCGGCCUUUUAAGUCAGCGGUGAAAGUCUGUGGCUCAACCAUAGAAUUGCCGUUGAAACUGGGAGGCUUGAGUAUGUUUGAGGCAGGCGGAAUGCGUGGUGUAGCGGUGAAAUGCUUAGAUAUCACGCAGAACCCCGAUUGCGAAGGCAGCCCGCCAAGCCAUGACUGACGCUGAUGCACGAAAGCGUGGGGAUCAAACAGGAUUAGAUACCCUGGUAGUCCACGCAGUAAACGAUGAUCACUAGCUGUUUGCGAUACACAGUAA